GGUACAUUGUGCUUGAUGAUUCCUUCACUCUGUGAUCAAAGAUGGCCGUUGUGCUUGAUGCCUUCAUCUCCGGGCUGGUCGGUACGUUGACGGACAUGGCUAAAGCGGAGGUGGACUUGCUGUUGGGCGUUCCCGGGGAGAUCCAAAAGCUCCAACGCUAUCUCCGCAACAUCCACUCUGUCCUUCGCGACGCCGAGAAGCAGCGGAUCGAGAACGAGAGCGUCAACGACUGGCUGAUGGAGCUCACGGAUGUCAUGUACGACGCCGACGACGUCCUCGACGAGUGCCGGAUGGAGGCCGAGAAGUGGACUCCUCGUGCGUCCGAUCCGAGGCCGUCCACCUUGUGCGGAUUUCCCAUCUGUGCUUGCUUUCGCGAGGUCAAGUUCAGACAUGCGGUGGGCGUCAAAAUCAAGGAUCUCAACGAUCGGCUGGAAGAGAUCUCGGCCCGAAGGUCCAAGUUGCAACUCCAUGUGUCUGCGGCGGAACCAAGGGUGGUUCCUCGAGUUAGUCGCAUAACUUCCCCGGUGAUGGAGUCUGACAUGGUUGGCGAGCGACUGGAGGAGGACUCCAAGGCACUGGUGGAGCAGCUGACAAAGCAAGAUCUGAGUAAGAACGUGGUGGUGCUGGCAAUUGUGGGGAUCGGCGGCAUCGGAAAGACCACCUUCGCCCAGAAGGUGUUCAAUGAUGGUAAAAUCAAAGCCAGCUUCCGCACCACCAUCUGGGUGUGCGUGUCCCAAGAGUUCAGCGAGACGGAUCUUCUCGGAAAUAUCAUCGAAGGUGCUGGUGGAAAAUAUAAUAGAGAACAGAGCAGGAGUCUGCUGGAGCCCUUGGUGGCGGGUCUACUGAGAGGGAACAAGUUCUUGCUGGUGUUGGAUGAUGUUUGGGAUGCUCAGAUCUGGGACGACUUGCUCCGCAAUCCUUUGCAGGGAGGAGCAGCAGGCAGCAGGGUGCUGGUGACAACCAGAAACGCAGGGAUCGCGAGGCAAAUGAAGGCGGCCCACGUCCACGAGAUGAAGCUGCUGCCUCCGGAGGAUGGCUGGUCCCUCCUGUGCAAGAAGGCGACGAUGAAUGCAGACGAGGAAAGGGAUGCCCAAGAUCUCAAGGACACAGGCAUGAAGAUUGUUGACAAAUGCGGAGGGCUUCCCCUGGCCAUCAAGACCAUCGGAGGGGUCCUCUGCUCCAGAGGACUCAACAGAAGUGCGUGGGAGGAAGUUCUCCGCAGCGCCGCUUGGUCACGGACCGGGCUUCCCGAAGGUGUGCACGGAGCACUGAAUCUGAGCUACCAAGACUUGCCGUCCCAUCUCAAGCAAUGCUUUCUCUACUGUGCCUUGUUCCCCGAAGACUAUUUGUUUGACAGGCCUGAAAUCGUCAGAUUAUGGAUAGCCGAGGGGUUUGUCGAAGCACGAGGAGAUGUCAGCUUGGAGGAAACAGGGGAGCAAUAUUAUAGAGAGCUGCUUCAUAGGAGCCUUUUACAACGGCAACGUUACAGUCUGGACGACUACUUUGAGUAUUCCAAGAUGCAUGAUCUGCUACGAUCGCUCGGCCAUUUCCUAUCGAGAGAUGAGAUCUUGUUCAUUAGUGACGUGCAAAACGAGUGGAGAAGUGGUGCCAUCCCGAUGAAGCUGCGUCGGUUGUCGAUUGUGCCCACUGAAACCACGGACAUCCAGCAUAUCGUCAGUUUGACCAAGCAGCAUGAGUCGGUGAGGACAUUGUUGGUGAAGAUAGCAAGGGGCCAUGUGAAGGAUAUAGAUGAUUGCUUGAAGAACCUCGUGCGACUUAGAGUCCUCCAUUUUACAGGCAAUCUUGUGGACACAAAAAUCGAGAUUCUACCGCACUACAUUGGAAAUUUGAUACACUUGAGAUACUUGAAUGUGUCUUAUACCGAUAUAAUGGAGCUUCCAGAAAGCAUAUGCAAUCUGACGAAUUUGCAGUUUUUGAUCCUCAGACGAUGUACGAAGUUGACACAUAUCCCCCAGGGUAUAGUUAGGCUAGUCAAUCUAAGAACACUCAAUUGUGAACGUACAGACCUGGAGAGCUUACCAUGUGGAAUAGGAAGGUUGAAGCUCCUCAAUGAACUCGGAGGAUUCGUGGUGAACACGGCUACUGGUUCGUGCCCAUUGGAAGAAUUAGGCAGCCUCCAGGAGCUCAGAUACCUCUACAUUGACAGGUUGGAGAGGGCGUGGCUGGAAGUUGAACCGGGAAGAGAUACGAGCCUCUUGAAGGGUAAACAAAAACUGAAACAUCUACAUUUACAUUGCUCAUAUACAUCCGAUGAUCACACGGAGGAAGAGAUUGAAAGAUUCGAGAAGGUGUUGGAUGUGGCACUUCAUCCACCAUCAUCUGUUGUUUCGCUCAGGUUAGAGUGUUUCUUCGGCCGCCGGUGCCCCAGCUGGAUGGCGUCUGCAAGCAUCAGUUCGCUUCUUCCAAACAUAAGCCGCUUGGAACUAAUUCACUGCGAUCAUUGGCCACUGCUUCCACCGCUUGGGAAGCUCCCUAACUUGGAGUUCCUUGAAAUACGAGGUGCAUAUGCAGUGACCACCAUCGGACCGGAAUUUUUUGGGUGUGAAGUUGGUGCUACCGGUCAUGAUCGGGAACGGAAUUUAAAGCGCCCUUCUUCUUCUUCUUCUUCUUCUUCUUCUUCUUCUUCUACUUCUCCUCCUUCGUUGUUUCCGAAACUAAGGCAGCUGGAACUCUUGGAUAUGACUAACAUGGAAGUGUGGGAUUGGGUAGCGGAAGGUUUUGCUAUGCGUCGCCUCGACAAAUUGGUCCUCGGAAAUUGCCCCAAGUUGAAGUCUCUACCGGAAGGCCUGAUCCGACAGGCAACCUGCUUAACCACAUUGUUUCUGGCCUAUGUGUGUGCUCUCAAGUCCAUCAGAGGUUUCCCUUGUGUAAAAGAAAUGAGUAUAAUUGGUGAAUCAGAUCUGGAGAUUGUUGCUGAUCUCCCUGCACUGGAGGUCUUGAAUCUGGGACUGUUUGGGCGUCGCAACAAUCAUUUACCAGAGUGGUUGGCGCAACAAUCAUUCACUACGCUCCAGAGACUGGACGUAAUUGGAACCACCCAACAACUCGUCAGAUGCCUCCAAAAUGGCGCAGACUGGCCCAUGAUCGAACACUUUCCAAUUUUUUCCAUGAAAGAUGACGGAGGCAAUUAUAUAAACUACAUCAAGCAUUCCUGCACCUUCGACACAAACCUAGUCGAUGCUGAUGCUGCUUUUGCUGCUGUUGCUGCUGCCGAAGAAGAAGAAGAAGAAAGAAGAAGAAGACAUCAAUUAGCUUUGGGGUAACUUACCUUUCAUGCUCGCGUCUCGACCAUCUAACGACUUCUGGUUUUGGAGUGGCAACUCGCAGUUAUCUCUUCCUGCUUAUGGCAGGGAGAUCGACAUUAUUUCUCUAAUGUCAAUUUUGUGAGUGGAAUUUUGUUUCCAAGCAGUAUUAAUGAGGCACUUAUCGGAAGAAAUGCUAGACGAAUGAUGAUUGUACCUAUCGAUUCCUGCGGAUGAGGAUGUUCAGAGCACUUUGUCUUUUUUUUGAAAAAGUGUGUAAUAUUAAAUGUUACUUUUUAACUUAUCUGGGUUGUAGCAUUGUACAUCUUUCUUUGUAUUGAAUGCUUUAUAGCAUUCGUGACAAAUAUUUCAUGCAGAUGGAGGCAAGACAUGGAGGUCAAGUAUGUUAGGUCACAAAGAUGCCUCAUUUCCCUAUCUGGUCGAAUCAUUUCCAAAGCUUCUUCUUUUGUGCUCUGUGGAAGACCAUUUUAAACCGUUGGUUGGCUUUCUUGAACUUGUUGGUGUUCCUGAAGCAGGCAUUUCAACUGUACAAUUGUCAUUCCCACCUAUCA